CGGGGCGUAGCGCAGUCUGGCAGCGCAUCUGGUUUGGGACCAGAGGGUCGGAGGUUCAAAUCCUCUCGCCCCGACCA
rnacentral:tRNA from 1 species